rnacentral:rRNA from 1 species
GGGUAACCUGCCCAAGAGAUCGGGAUACAACCUGGAAACAGAUGCUAAUACCGGAUAACAACAGAUGAUGCCUAUCAACUGUUUAAAAGAUGGUUCUGCUAUCACUCUUGGAUGGACCUGCGGUGCAUUAGCUAGUUGGUAGGGUAACGGCCUACCAAGGCGAUGAUGCAUAGCCGAGUUGAGAGACUGAUCGGCCACAUUGGGACUGAGACACGGCCCAAACUCCUACGGGAGGCAGCAGGA